AGUGGUAGGGGCAGGCUUGAAACCCUUACAAUAGAGCAAGAAAAUAACAAGACAGGACCUAAAACCAAAACCCUCUCUCGACAGCGCCUCACUCUCUCUCUCGACACAUACCCAAAACCAGAAUCCUCACUCUCGAUAGCACGUCACUCUCUCGACAAAACCUAAAGCCAAAACCUCACUCUCCCAAACCCUCGCUCUUCACUCGCACUUCACUCGCCCAUUACAUUACUGAAUUCGAAACCCCCAAUUUUCUAGGGUUUCAAUUUUCAAUCUCAAGAGGAAAAUGUUGAAGCGGAAGGCAUCAUGGAAGAGGAUGUUCUCCCUCACCAUCUCCUUAAGGCCAUCACCGACCGUAAUCCAAGCGGUCGUCAUCCUCUCCGUCGAUCUGAGAGCAUGCCCGACAAUCGCUACUACGGCAGCAACGAGUACAUCAACUAGAAGUUGGGGUUUUUAUACGAAUUUCUUUUUGGGAUUUGGAUUUUACGGGCCUAGGGUUCUUUUUUCAUACCUUUAACUCGUCUAUAUAUUCUGUGCUUUCUUUGUGAUUCUUCGUUGCCAUUCUCUUCUGGGUUGUUCAAGUUCCUCAAUUUCCUCAUCUGGGUAUCUUUCAAUUUUUUCUGUUCUUCAAUCUUCUGGGCUGGUGAGUUUUCUCUCUGCUUUCUUGAUUUUGCCAUGUUUCCUCAUCUGGGUCUCUGUUGUUUCUCAAUUUCAAGUUUUUUGGGAUUCAAAGUUGGGGGCUUUUUUCCCAAUUGCUUGUUUUAGUGAACAAAAGUCGGUUAAUUCUUCCAUUGUUAGGUCUUUCUUCUGUUUUGGGUUCUAGAUCUUGCUACUACUGCAUGCUGCUAGGUUUCUGCAGAGAUUUUGGUUCUGGGAGUUGGUCAUUCUCAGUAGAUUUGGUUUGUGCUUCCUUGAAUGUUAGCUACUAGGUGGAUUAGAGUUGGAAUUUUUUAUCAGGAAGCUGUUGGAAAUUGAGGCCUGUCUCAAUGCUGUAAACUAGGGGAUGUGAUGGUUUUGGGGCUCUUGUGAUGGUUGAUGAUUUUUGUUCUAUUCUUUGUAAUGUUCUUAAUUUAGUUUGUCAUCUCAUUUCACACCUCUAUAUGCAGGUUUAUUUGGAGGUUCCAAAUGGCAAAGAAUUGGCAGUGGCACUUCAAUCAAAGGGAAUUCCUUACGUGAUAUAUUAGAAAGAUGCAUUUUCUACUUAUGCUGCUUCCCACUUUCGACAUGCUUUACUUUCAGUGGUACAAAGUUCAUCAACUCAUACAUGGGAUGCUUUCCAACUUGCACAUGCUUUUUUAG